UACGUAGGUGGCAAGCGUUGUCCGGAUUUACUGGGCGUAAAGAGCGCGCAGGCGGUCGUAUAAGUCGAAUGUGAAAGCCCCCGGCUCAACUGGGGAGGGUCAUUCGAUACUGUUCGACUCGAAGGCAGGAGAGGGAAGUGGAAUUCCGGGUGUAGUGGUGAAAUGCGUAGAUAUCAGGAGGAACACCUGUGGUGUAGACAGCUUACUGGACCAUUUCUGACGCUGAGACACGAAAGCGUGGGUAGCAAACAGG
rnacentral:rRNA from 1 species